UACGGGGGGGAGCAAGCGUUGUUCGGAUUUACUGGGCGUAAAGGGCGCGUAGGCGGCCUUGCAAGUCGGUUGGUGAAAGCCCGGGGCUCAACCCCGGAGGUGCGGCCGAGACUGCAGGGCUGGAGGCCGGAAGAGGAGGGUGGAAUACCCAGUGUAGAGGUGAAAUUCGUAGAUAUUGGGGAGGAACACCAGUGGCGAAGGCGGCUCACUGGACCGGAACUGACGCUGAGGCGCGAAAGCGUGGGGAGCAAACAGG
rnacentral:rRNA from 1 species